rnacentral:ncRNA from 2 species
UUGUGAUAUAGAGGCCGCAGUUUGUAAUGAAUACUUCAGAUUAAACUAUUGGGAAAUUAAGUUCUGUAGGAAAGGUACAACUGCCGAAACACAUAUCUAACCCAUAACAUAUGUGUUGGGGCUAUACUGAACAAGUAUAGUACUGUCAUCAUUAGAAUGCCCAGUCUUUUGAUGGUGUGCUAUUUCACAC